rnacentral:rRNA from 1 species
GACGAACGCUGGCGGCGUGCCUAAUACAUGCAAGUCGAACGCAGUGGGGACGGGUGAGUAACACGUGGGUAACCUCCCAUCAGAGGGGAUAACACUUGGAAACAGGUGCUAAACCGAUACUGAUGGAUGGACCAGCGGGGCAUUAGCGAGUUGGUGGGGUAACGGCCCACCAAGGCCACGAUGCAUAGCCGACCUUGGAUGGUUGUCGGCCACAAUGGGACUGAGACACGGCCCAGACUCCUACGGGAGGCAGAAGUAGGGAAUCUUCGGCAAUGGACGAAAGUCUGACCGAGCAACGCCGCGUGGGUGAAGAAGGUUUUCGGAUCGUAAAACUCUGUUGUUAGAGAAGCGGUAUCUAGCCAGAAAGCCACGGGUAACUACGUGCCAGCAGCCGCGGUAAUUC